GAUAUGGACCAGAACCUUGUAAUGAAAUGGCCUGGCAGGGUCCAGAUUCAUAUUCCCAGAUCAGAACUUGUCUCUAUUUUGGCAGAUCCCAAAACAUUGAGACCGUUACAGGACUACAGACGAGGGAGCCAGGAGAGGAGGCUGCCACACUCAUGGGUGAAGACAUUGGCAGCAUUACUUGUGGCUUCUACACAGCGAGGAGUCACCUUGGGUGGAGACACUAGGCAUCAGAAAUGAACCCAGGAUGCAAGUGAGGAUUGGGUACAAGACACUCUAAGUAGCAAGCCAGUGGGAGGAAAUCUGAGCCAUUCCUUGGGGGAAUGGCUACAACAACAAGCAUUAACACCUCUUUCUCCUUUCCAGCAACAGAAGAUACAUAUUCACCCUUUUGUCAUUAGUAACUAAACAACUAUAGAUAACAGACGUAAGAAGCUAGUCAAUAGUACGGAAUCUAACACUAUGUAUCAAGAGUCUAUCAUUGCGUCCUGCAAUCAGAGUACAACUGUGAGGCAGUAACAUACAAAUUCUUUAUUCAGCUGUGUAUUGUAAACAUCAAGUUUGAAUGGACGAAAUGUAUAGUCUUUAAACAUAGGUUAAUUUACCAGGUGAAUAUAUAGCACUGUGUAAAUUAACAUGAUUUAUUUACAAACAAGUGGCAUAUUAGAUAAUCAAUGUGAUUAGCUGUUUUUUUCUUCUUGAACUCCAGAUCCACCCCUGCUCACAACCUGACCCCCAUGGACUGUAUCAGAAGCCAGCCUUACUGAUGAUGCCCAUGUCAAAACAAAACAUAGCUUUUUGUUACCACAGUGUUGUAAAAUCAGUGACUAACUCUUAUGCUGAAUGCAAAGAUGUGACAAAUCUAUUUCCCCUCCCCAUUUUGGUUAUUAGAGACAAUGAGAUCUUAUACAUGGCUUCUGAGAUCUUUAAAUAGAAAUUAUUAAUGCAUGCCCCUACUGCUUUUUCAUGACAUCUUGCAACAGAGCUUAUAUUUUUAAAAAUACCUAUAGUUUACCCAAAACUUUUUGAUCUGGGAAUCAUGCUGUGAAAUCUAGCUCUUGUCAUUAUUUCUGGGACUUUCUUGUUUCAUGUGUGCAGAAAGAUAGCAGAACGGUCUCGUGUGGUAUUAUAAUACUUCUGUUUCCAAAAUAAAUCUAAGUGCAAAGAAGGCCAAAAAUUUUAAGUUAACCAAACACUUUAUAUGAAACAAUUCCGUUAAAUGUAAGGAACCGGGAAGUCACAGUGGAUAGUGGAUAGUGCACCAGACUGACAGUUGGGAAGCCCCUGAAGUUUUAUUCACAUUUCUGCAAUUGAUGUGUGACGUUGUGCCGUCUAUAUGGUUUUAUAAAAACAUGAUAAUAAGUGAAUAUAAUGUAACUGGGAGAGUUUUAGAAAAAAUAUGGUAAAAAGUG